rnacentral:lncRNA from 1 species
GCAGUCUUGUUUAAGCUUAGAUUUAAUAUCAUGCUGUCACUGCAGGCAAGCUUUGUUCCCUAGCAAUGAGAUGUCUACAUAUUAUGGAUGCACGACUCCCUCAGAGAACAGCCAGAUUACGGGAUUACUCUAAGGAAAAUUUCGCAACAACAUUUAAUUCCUUCCUGAUGAAGUGAUUUUCCACAACACUUUGCUAUAGCGUAUUGGCAGAUGAAGAGAGAAUGGGGGACAAAAUGCAUUUGCUAAUCAUACACAAUAAUGAUAAAUACAAAGCCCGUUGUCCUGCUGAGGGAAUCCAACCCGCUGGAUAACAUAUAAAGCCAUGUGAGGUCUGUGAGAUGCCUCCUAUAAGCAGAGUAAGAGCAGCCUGCGUCUCUUAGAAAGGUCAUCACAGAAAGAUUUGGGCCCACAACUGUUCAAGCCACAGUGACAAGUGAAAUGCUUAUCAAGUAGAUCUUGAAAUAUACCAGGUUCCCCAGUCCAUCUAAACAGUGUGCAGAGCGAGGAGAGCAGGGCUACAGGGAAGAGCGGGAUCACCAAGCCUCCAUUACAGGCAAUCUCAGGCGAGCGGCCUGGCAGCCCCAUGCUGUGAGGAACCUGGGCCUGCUCGGCUGGGAUUCCUCCAUGUGAGGGGCUGGGGUAGCAGUGCUGGGAGCUGCUCUGAGGGCAGGGAGUGCUUGGGACAGGAAAGAAAAAGGCCCUGUGCAUUUGCAGGCUCCUGAUCCUACUGAAGGAGGGGACUGCAGCAGGGGUCAGGAUUUGGCAGAGCUCCCUCUGAGGACAAAAACAAGAUUCUGCUGCCCCUGACUACUGAGGAUCCCCUCUACAAGUCCAGCAUAGUAUGAAGUGUAAUAAGCAAAUAGCAAAAAUGGAGAGGAAAUGGAAGAAGGGAAGUGUUCCACAGAGAGAAACAUAUUACAAACAGCAGAGGAUCGUCCAAGCAUGCUCUCUGCUGUGCUUCAGGAAAACAACUCAUUUACCAGAUGUUUCAAAUUGUGUGUAAAAUAUAAAAGAGCAUACUGGGGAAAAUGUAUUUAAUACUAGAAUCUUUGUCUCUCUAUUGCAAGAACACAAUAUGCAAAAUGUGAGCUAGCU